GAUCUGAUUGGCUGCUGCAGGUUGUGUGGUGAUCCAGAGGCGAGCAGAGGGAAACAGGUUCCUCCUUAUGAGGUUUGUAAGCAGAACAUCCACUGAGCUUGACUCUGUGACAUCAGUCAGGAUGUCACUGCUGUGGAAGUCCAGAGGGAGGCGACACUCAUCCAGACCGUCCAAGAUGAUCAAGACCUGGAAGUGCUGGAAGCUGCAGAUUCCUGCUUCUUUGGUUUCAGGAAAGAAGUGAUGAACAAGUUCCACCAAGCUGAACUUCUUCUCUUUCAGGACAUUCAGCUCUCUGAAAGUGAAGAGAAAUAUGAAGUGGAAGUCCUGGUUGGUUCGUCCUUCAGCCCAGUCCAGAGUCCACUUCUGUGUUAAGACUGUUUUCCCGAUGCCGGCCACGCCCUUUGUCAGCACUGUUCUGAUUGGUGGCUGAGUGUCAGCUGAGACUUUAAAGAUGUCUUCACAUGUGAUGGUUCUUUCAGGUUUGUCUCUUCUCCUG